AGUACUCGCCGAUUGCUCUGGACCAGUAGUGCGUUGAAUACAACUACUUUUCAUCUCUCCUUGGCCCCAUGACGUAGAGUACUCAAUUGAGAGGUGGCAGAAAUUAUCGGACACGCCAAGAAUCCGUUCACUCUCGCUUGUGCUUCGAGUUGUUUGGGUGAGCGUUGAAACUUCAAGGAAGGCCUGCCUAGCUUAUUCUACCCAAGUUUAGCCGCUAGCAAAAGAGAUGAAACAACUUGCGUGGUAUCAACACGUCGCCGAGCAAGUAAACAUCAAUCCCGAAAUGACAGAUGUCAGUCAAGCGCAUUGUCCUGCAUUGCCCAAACGCCAGGGGUCUGCUCGCAUUGAAGAAGAUGAGGAGGAAGAGUCGCCAUACAUGAAGAAGGAGGAGGAAGUAUAUGUCCACAUUAAAGAGGAGCAGGAGGAGUAUUUCAUUCCAGUUGAGAACACCCACAUUGAGGAGCAGCAGAAACGUUAUCCCCUCAUAAAGGAGGAGGCGGACCCUCCAUAUGUAAAAGUGGAGGUGAUAGACGUCUCCAAGUGGACUGGUGAGUCCUUGAAGGGUGAAGAUGCAGGUCCGAGUCAGGCCAGCAGAGGGGCGGAGCCUACGAGUGGCGGCAGUAGCAGUUUAAAAGAAGGAUCCCAAGCAGACCUCAUGGUUCAAUCAUCAGAGAGUGAUGACGCCACAUCACACUCGCUGUUCUGUUUAAAAAAAUAUCUUGGUCCUGAACGACUUGAGUCAGAGCCUCCUGGCUUUAAAGAGGAAGUUAAGCACCCACAAAUGAAACAAGAAGAGCCAGAGCACCCUCAACUGCAAAAGAGAGAAGAGCAACUUCCAAUCAAAAAGGAGGAGGAAGAGCUGCAAUAUGUUAAAGAGGAGGACGAUAUCACCAGGUGGACUGAUGAGCCCUUGAAGAUUGAAGAGGCUCUGAGUGAGACCAGGAAAAGGGCGGGGCCUCCAAGCGGCAGCAGCAGCUCAACAGGAUUGCAAGCAAACGGCUUUAUCGCUCCGCUUUCAGAUAGCGACGACGCUACGUCACACUUGCCUGACAGUGAUGAUGAAGGUCAUGAGAAAACUCACAGUGACGGCGAACUCUGCAAAUGCUCUCAGUGUGGGAAAACCUUCGCUAAUAAGUAUACUUGCCGUACCCAUAUGAGGAGCCACACUGGUGAGAAACCCUUUGUCUGCUCAGUUUGUGGCCAAAGAUUCAGACACAAGGGCACCUUAAAAAUACACAUCAGAACCCACACUGGAGAAAAACCUUUUUCCUGCUCAUUUUGUGGCCAAGGAUUCAGUCGCAAGAGGAAUUUAACAACACACAUAAUAAACCACACUGGCGAAAAACCUUUUUCCUGCUCAGUUUGUGGUCAGGGAUUCAGUCAAAAGCAAACGUUACAAAGACACACAAGAACCCACACUGGUGAAAAACCUUUUACCUGCUCAGUUUGUGGCCAAAGAUUCGGUCAAAAGCACACCUUACAAAGACACAAAAGAACCCACACCGGAGAAAAACCCUUUGCUUGCUCAGUUUGUGGCCAAAGGUUUGGUCACAAGAGCACCUUACAAAGACACAAAAGAGCCCACAACAGAGAAAAUCCUUUUGCCUGCUCAGUUUGUGGCCAAAGAUAUAGUCGCAAAAGCACCUUGCAAAGACACACAAGAACCCAUAGUGGAGAAAAACCUUUUUCCUGCUCAGUUUGUGGUCAAAGGUUCACUGAGAAGGCAAACUUAUCACAACACACAAGAACUCACACUGGAGAAAAACCUUUUUCCUGUUCAAUUUGUGGUCAAAGAUUCAGUCGCAAGAGCACCUUAAACACACACACAAGAACCCACACUGAUGAGAAAGCUUUUUCCUGAUCAGUUCCUGGUCAAGGGUUCACUCUGAGGGGCCGUUUACAUGAUGCGACAAAUGUCACGCUUGCAUUUAUAUGGUCUACCGUCUCUGUUCCGUCUCCAUCCGGAUGAUCACACAAAACAAUGAUGAAAUGAAAUGUGAAAACAAUGUAGAAUUCAUGUCAUCCCUAGGGUACAGUGCCGUUUUACAAGGUGACAGCUAAUGACGCUCUUCCUUGACAGCAACAACCUGCUCAGCCUGGAAGACAACAUACCCACCCACUCCAAGCAGUGGCAUCCACGGUGAGCCUUCUUCAAACUUUUGGAACAUGGAGUCAAAUGGAGUUUGGAACAAAGGGGUAACACAAGAGGUGAACGCGCGGAAUAUCUGCCCUCCCAGUUGGCGCACUGUGCCACUUACCACAACAGCAACCCAAGUGAACCACUUCUCUCGCACCCAAGCAAACCGUGAGGGAAAGUUCCAGGACUUUGAAAAGAAAUGGCAAUUCAAGCACAUCGCAUCCAGUCCUGGGCACGUCCAGUCAAAUGGUCAGGCGGAAGGACUGUACACUGUGAAAAAGUCGCUGUUUGAACAUCACAACACACCACUGGAUGGACUUGCUUUUGUCACAAAAGCUCCUCGGCCGUCAUGCCAUGCACCCUCGAGGAUCCUGCCUAGGGUGUAGAGCUGGUCCACUGUUCCACGGCCGGGACGAAAACCACACUGCUCCUCCUGAACCCGAGAUUCGACUUCCCGACGGAACCUCCUCUCAAGUACCCCUGAAUAGACUUUACCGAUCCUUGGACUUGAUCCUAGGAGCUAUGUUGUCUGGGCCUUUCAGCCCCUGGCAGGGUCACCCAUGACAAACAGGUCCUAGGUGAGGGGCCAGACUAAGCAUGGCUCAAAAUGACUCCUUAUGAUGAGUAAAAUAAAUUGAGUCAGGUUUCCCUUGCCCAGACGCGGGUUACCGGGGCCCCCCUCUGGAGCCAGGCCUAGAGGUGGGGCUCGAAGGCAAGCUUCUGGUGGCCGGGCCUGUCCCCAUGGGGCCUGGUCGGGCACUCGCCACCCGUGGAAGGGGCCAAAGGGGUCGGGUGCAUAGAGAGUUGGGUGGCAGCCAAAGGCGGGGGCCUUGGCGGUCCGACCCCCAGCUGCAGAAGCUGACU